CAAACAUUUACAACAACUCGGUUUUCUUCAAUCUCUGCAUUGAAUAAAUAGAAGACUUAACAACAGAUCACCUCCAGGAAAAAGCUCACACAACCUGACUGUGGCCAUUCACCAAUCCUGGAAGCCAAAUCAAAUUCUUUUUGGAUGGGGACUGGAUAGUAUUAACCAAGUGUGAGUAGUUUCCAGCAUGAGAACAUUCUCAGGUUUGUAUUUAAGAAGCUACUUGACCUAUUGAUUCAUAUCCUACUCCAUGGAAGUUCAGCU
rnacentral:lncRNA from 1 species